rnacentral:rRNA from 1 species
ACACAUAUUUAAUGAAAUUUACUUUCAAAUCCAGUUUCAUGAUUUUCAUUAUAGAAAACAAUUCAUUUUUUACAAUAAUGUAAUCCAUUUUUUCUUUAAAAUUAACUGCACCUUGACCUGACAUUUUAUUAAUAAAACAAAUGAAAAUUAUUCUGAUAAAACAUUCUUGACAGAGGUAUACAAAUUUAUUUAAAAUAGAAUCUAUCGUGGAUUAUCAAUUACAAAACAGAUUCCUCUGAUUAGAUAAAUUACCGCCAAAUUCUUUGAAUUUAAAGAUCAUAACUAUUAAUAAUCUAGUUAUUUUAUUUACACUCUCAAUAAUAGGGUAUC